rnacentral:rRNA from 1 species
GAUGAACGCUAGCGGCAGGCUUAACACAUGCAAGUCGAGGGGCAGCAUGAGACGGAGAUUCGUCAAAGUCUUGAUGGCGACCGGCGCAAGGGUGCGUAACGCGUGAGCAACUUGCCCGUUUCUGGGGCAUAACCGGUGGAAACGCCGACUAAUUCCCCAUAGUAUUGAUUACAGGCAUCUUUUAGUUGUUAAAGAACUUCGGAAACGGAUAGGCUCGCGUGACAUUAGCUAGAUGGCGGGGUAACGGCCCACCAUGGCGACGAUGUCUAGGGUUUCUGAGAGGAAGGUCCCCCACACUGGAACUGAGACACGGUCCAGACUCCUACGGGAGGCAGCAGUGAGGAAUAUUGGUCAAUGGUCUGACGACUGAACCAGCCAUGCCGCGUGAAGGUGACGGCCCUAUGGGUCUUAAACUUCUUUUGUAAGGGAGCAAUAAGAGCUACGUGUAGCUUGAUGAGAGUACCUUACGAAUAAGCAUCGGCUAACUCCGUGCCAGCAGCCGCCGUAAGAC